rnacentral:sRNA from 1 species
UAGUCUAUGAUUGGAAGGCUGUAUGGGC